rnacentral:rRNA from 1 species
GUGGGGAAUAUUGGACAAUGGGCGAAAGCCUGAUCCAGCCAUGCCGCGUGUGUGAAGAAGGUCUUCGGAUUGUAACGCACUUUAAGUUGGGAGGAAGGGCAGUAAGUUAAUACCUUGCUGUUUUGACGUUACCGACAGAAUAAGCACCGGCUAACUUCGUGCCAGCAGCCGCGGUAAUACGAAGGGUGCAAGCGUUAAUCGGAAUUACUGGGCGUAAAGCGCGCGUAGGUGGUUUUGUAAGUUGGAGGUGAAAUCCCCGGGCUCAACCUGGGAACUGCCUCCAAAACUGCAUGACUAGAGUACGGUAGAGGGUAGUGGAAUUUCCUGUGUAGCGGUGAAAUGCGUAGAUAUAGGAAGGAACACCAGUGGCGAAGGCGACUACCUGGACUGAUACUGACACUGAGGUGCGAAAGCGUGGGGAGCAAACAGGAUUAGAAACCCGGGUAGUCC